rnacentral:rRNA from 1 species
UACGUAGGUCGCAAGCGUUGUCCGGAUUUACUGGGCGUAAAGAGCGCGCAGGCGGCUGGUCAAGUCCGAUGUGAAAUCUCCCGGCUUAACUGGGAAACUGCAUCGGAAACUGAUCGGCUUGAAGGUGGGAGAGGGUAGUGGAAUUCCCGGUGUAGUGGUGAAAUGCGUAGAUAUCGGGAGGAACACCAGUGGCGAAGGCAGGUCUCUGGGCCACUACUGACGCUGAGAAGCGAAAGCAUGGGGAGCGAACAGG